rnacentral:rRNA from 1 species
CGAAGACAACUAGGAUGUUGGCUCAGAAGCAGCCAUACAUUCAAAGAGUGCGUAAUAGCUCACUAGUCGAGAGGUCCUGCGCCGAAAAUGUCCGGGGCUGAAACACGACACCGAAGCUUAGGACUCCUUUUAGGAGUGGUAGAGGAGCAUUGUUAGCGCAGCGAAGCUGUACCGAUAAGGAGCAGUGGAGUGCUAAGAAGAGAGAAUGCCGGAAUGAGUAGCGAGAGGAAGGUGAGAAUCCUUCCGGCCGAAUAUCUAAGGUUUCCAGAGUAAAGCUGAUCUGCUCUGGGUAAGUCGGGGCCUAAGGCGAGGUCGAAAGACGUAGUCGAUGGAUAACAGGUGGAGAUUCCUGUACUAUGUGUACCCAGAACUGUGGGGACGCAUGUGGAGAGCAUGAGCCGGGAAAGAGAAAACCGGUACAAGCGGGGUAGGAGUAAGGACAGCAAAUCUUCCUUACAAUCCGAAGACGUGAUGUGGACCGAACCAAAGUAGGGAAGCAUGUGAGCCAUGUGCCAAGAAAAGCCGCUAUUGUGAUACACAUACCCGUACCGUAAACCGACACAGGUGGAUGAGGAGAGAAUCCUAAGGCCGACGGAAGAAGCAUUGUUAAGGAACUCGGCAAAAUGACCCCGUAACUUCGGGAGAAGGGGUGCCCCAGAGAUGGAGCCGCAGAGAACUGGCCCAAGCAACUGUUUAGCAAAAACACAGGUCUAUGCAAAACCGAAAGGUGAGGUAUAUGGGCUGACGCCUGCCCGGUGCUGGAAGGUUAAGAGGAGAGGUUAGAGCAAUCGAAGCUUUGAAUUUAAGCCCCAGUAAACGGCGGCCGUAACUAUAACGGUCCUAAGGUAGCGAAAUUCCUUGUCGGGUAAGUUCCGACCCGCACGAAAGGCGUAAUGAUUUGAGCACUGUCUCGACAAUGCAUCCGGUGAAAUUGAAGUACCAGUGAAGAUGCUGGUUACCCGCGCCAGGACGGAAAGACCCCAUGGAGCUUUACUCCAGUUUGGUACUGGGAUUCGGUACUGCACGUACAGGAUAGGUGGGAGACUGAGAACUUGGGACGCCAGUUUCAUCCUCCUUGUGCUGCUGCAGCUUCUGGGCAAACAGGCGGCGGGCAUCCAGGAUCUCCUGAUUGUCCGUCUCGGCGUAGCCGGUGGCCUCAGCAAUGAGCUCGUCCGACAGCCCCGCCUUCCGCAGGUCGCUGGUGGCCAUGUACUCGGCGUUGCCGCCCAGCAUGAUAUCCGUACCACGGCCGGCCAUGUUGGUGGCCACGGUGACGGCGCCCAGCUUACCGGCCUGCGCCACGAUCUCCGCCUCACGCUCGUGGUUCUUGGCGUUCAAUACGUUGUGCUUGAUGCCUGCCUUGGUGAGCAUCCGGCUUAAAAGCUCGUUCUUCUCAAUGGAUACCGUACCCACCAGCACCGGCUGACCCUUAGCGUGGCACUCCUCCACCUGACGGAUGACCGCCCGGAACUUGCCCUGCUCCGUUUUAUACACGGAGUCCUGAUCGUCGAUACGGGCGAUGGGACGGUUGGUGGGGAUCUCCACAAUGUCCAGCUUGUAGAUGGUGGCAAAUUCUUCCUCCUCCGUCA